CCUACGCGCGGCAGCAGUGGGGAAUAUUGGACAAUGGGCGAAAGCCUGAUCCAGCCAUGCCGCGUGUGUGAAGAAGGCCUUCGGGUUGUAAAGCACUUUCAGUGGGGAAGAAAGCCUUGGGGCUAAUACCCUCGAGGAAGGACAUCACCCACAGAAGAAGCACCGGCUAACUCCGUGCCAGCAGCCGCGGUAAUACGGAGGGUGCGAGCGUUAAUCGGAAUUACUGGGCGUAAAGCGCGCGUAGGCGGUCUGAUAAGCCGGUUGUGAAAGCCCCGGGCUCAACCUGGGAACGGCAUCCGGAACUGUCAGGCUAGAGUGCAGGAGAGGAAGGUAGAAUUCCCGGUGUAGCGGUGAAAUGCGUAGAGAUCGGGAGGAAUACCAGUGGCGAAGGCGGCCUUCUGGACUGACACUGACGCUGAGGUGCGAAAGCGUGGGUAGCAAACAGGAUUAGAUACCCCAGUAGUC
rnacentral:rRNA from 1 species